ACGGGGUGCAGCAGGCGCGAAAACCUCCGCAAUGUGAGAAAAUCGCGAACGGGGGGAUCCCAAGUGCCAUUCUUAACGGGAUGGCUUUUCAUUAGUGUAAAGAGCUUUUGGAAUAAGGGCUGUGCAAGACCGGUGCCAGCCGCCGCGGUAACACCGGCAGCUCUAGUGGUAGCAGUUUUUAUUGGGCCUAAAGCGUCCGUAGCCGGUUUAAUAAGUCUCUGGUGAAAUCCUGUAGCUUAACUGUGGGAAUUGCUGGAGAUACUAUUAGACUUGAGACCGGGAGAGGUUAGAGGUACUCCCAGGGUAGAGGUGAAAUUCUGUAAUCCUGGGAGGACCGCCUGUUGCGAAGGCGUCUAACUGGAACGGUUUUGACGGUGAGGGACGAAAGUUAGGGGCGCGAACCGGAUUAGAUACCCGGGUAGUCCUAACUGUAAACGAUGAGUGCUCGGGAUUUGGGGCCUUGCCCUGAGUCCCCCAGCGAAAGCGUUAAGCACUCCACCUGGGGAGUACGCCGGCAACGGUGAAACUCAAAGGAAUUGGCGGGGGAGCAC
rnacentral:rRNA from 1 species